UACGGAGGGAGCUAGCGUUGUUCGGAAUUACUGGGCGUAAAGCGCACGUAGGCGGCUACUCAAGUCAGAGGUGAAAGCCCGGGGCUCAACCCCGGAACUGCCUUUGAAACUAGGUAGCUAGAAUCUUGGAGAGGUCAGUGGAAUUCCGAGUGUAGAGGUGAAAUUCGUAGAUAUUCGGAAGAACACCAGUGGCGAAGGCGACUGACUGGACAAGUAUUGAUGCUGAGGUGCGAAAGCGUGGGGAGCAAACAGG
rnacentral:rRNA from 1 species